UCUAAAUAUCUGAAUCCGAUCCGAAAUAACCGAAUCCGAACUAAAAAUACCUGAACCCGACCCGAAGUACAGAAAUACCCGAACGGGUUCUACACCUCUAUACCGAAAUACCCGAAAAUCCGAAAUACAUGAUCCGAACCCGAACGGGUACCCGAACGCCCACUCCUAGUCGGUGUUUUAAAACAGAUUAAUUAGUGUUUAUUAAUUAUGUUGAGUAAUUUAUACACUUAAAUCUAGUUUUUAUAUGAUGAUUAUUCAUCUUAGUUGAGUCUGUAUAUCGAUGACAAAAAAAUAUAUAUGCGUAUUCAUCUUUGUUACGGUAUAAUUUUAACAUGGACAUUAAUUAUAUUCACUUUUCAAAUGUAAACGAACUAGAAUAGGUCGUCUAAGGUAUCUAUCUAUAUAUAUAAAGAAUAGUUUACUUCUCUCCCAAGGCGUCCACAGUCGUUUGCCACAUCGCUAAUUCGAAGUUUCCUAGUGCGACACAUGUCCCACCAUCACAAAACUCAUCAUUUCAUUUAAAAAUAGGCAUCACGGGCUUUUUGUUAAUCAUCAUAAUUGUAGUCCAAACAGAAAUGCCCAAAUCUGAUAACUCACAUGAAGCGCUAGGGUUUCUGUUCUUCUUCCAAAUUCGCUACCUAUCAAUUUUUUCCUGCGUUAUCUCUCACACAGUCAACGGUGUUUCGACUGUUUUAAUUACUGAAAUCGUGAUGGAGAAUCUCUUUGUCUGUCUCCUCUCGCGUCGUUUAGCAUUCUAUUGCACUCAAACGAAACCGUCUGAGUUACAGAUUCAACACCAUUAUGGCCUUCUUAACUCCAAAGAGCGACGUUUAGCACGAUCUUGAAAUUGAUUGUGAGUUAUCUCUCUGCAAGGCGGUCUAUUGAUCACCUAUGAAAAGGUUAGCUUUCUUCACUUGAACAACAUCCUCACAAUCUGUGAAAACACUAAAACGAGAUUUGCUUAAUUCUUUUUUAUUUUGUUUUGUUCUCUCACUCAUCCUCACAAAAUUCAAGCUAAAAACUUUUACGCUGCUAACAGAUCGUCUGAAAUCACCGGCAAGGGUCCUUCAUCACUGCUCUUCAAUGAUGUCUAACCAGCCCUAGGAGAUCCGUCCAAGUUGGUUUUCCGUGUUAUCCACUAGCGGGAAGCAGGGAGCACAACGUCCUAAUCGGGCUUGAGUUGCUACUGAUUGAUGAACAGGUAUAGCUAAGGCCUUAGGCUUUCAUAUUUACUUAUUUAGUAGCAAAUACUCUCUCAAUUUAGUAUCCUCAAGUACAUCACCUACAAAUCAGUAAGAUAAGAGAGAGCAUAUAUUCACAAAAUUCAUCGAUUGUUAUUUUGAUUUCUUUGCAGAGAUCAUGAAUCGAGAUGAAUCAAAAUUUAUUGAUUAGACUUUUAGUACAGAGCAAGUCGUGGAACUUUAUUUAGUUAUAAACAACGAAUCACUCAUAUUGACAUCUUCCAGCUUUUAGCUCUUGCAUUGGUCUGAUAAGGUUUUGAUUUUUAUGUGUAUCAUAAAGAUCAAUCUCCAAACUGGAGAAGAAGAAGCUGUCGUCGUGAAGCUGGUAUAAUUUAUGAGCUCAGUUUUGGUUUCUCAUUUAAAUAAAUGUUCUUUUUUGCUGAGAAACGUUUCAAUUUUGAGACUUUUUGUUUGAAUUUGAUAGUAUUAGCAAGACUUCAUUGCUGUAGAUGGUCAUGUUUCAUUGUUCCUUUAUUGUUAAUUGAUCUUUUGUUGCAUUUAUGACACACAGGAACCUACGAAGACGAGGCUUCUCAACUACACUAUGAAUCGUAAAUACUAUUUUAGAUGUGGGGAAGAGAGUUGGUUUCUCUGGUCAUUUAUAUGAAUUUUAAUUUUCAACCCACUAUCUCUGCCCUCUGUUGGCUUGACCUUUUUGGGCCGAGCUUGGAGACGUAUUCAACCUCUGCAAUCAGAUGUUUACGUUCAAAUCUAUUUUAAUGCUUGCAGAUCAAUUGGUUAAUAACAUUGAUAUGACUGGUGUAAUCUUAGCCCUAUGCAGUGUUGGUGGUGUGCAGAGUCAGUCUAUUACAGUCGACAUGCAAAUGAGGAGAUAAGAAGUUGCAAGAAUCUACAGCAAAUGGAGUUUACCCCAGGUAGAAUUCUUUUACUCCCCUCUAUCCUAUGUAGACCUUCUCCUUGAAGAUAUUGUCUUUUAAUUUUCUGGAAGCCUCUUAUUCUGAUAUUUUGGGGUUUGGAAUACAUGUUAUUGUAGGUGUGCAUCCCAACACCAUUUUGAGCAGAAUCAAAAUAAAAAAGCAAACAACAAUGAUGCACAAAAGCAGCUGGGAAGAAAAGAAAUCGUAAUAGCUCAGAAAAAUGUAGCUAGAAACAUUUUUCUAGCCUAAACAGGUGCUUUAUGUAUUUCGCUAACGAUCUGGAAUGUUACCAAUAAUAUUUUUAUAUGUUAGUGUAAUCUCAAUAA